AAUGAACGCUGGCGGCAGGCCUAAAACAUGCAAGUCGAACGCCUGUAGCAAUACAGGAGUGGCGCACGGGUGCGUAACACGUGGGAAUAUGCCUAUUGGUACGGAACAGCUCCGGGAAACUGGAAUUAAUACCGUAUGGUCCCUUCGGGGUAAAGAUUUAUCGCCAAUAGACUAGCCCGCGGUGGAUUAGCUAGUUGGUAGGGGCAUGGCCUGCAAAGGCGACGAUCCAUAGCUGGUCUGAGAGGACGAUCAGCCACACUGGGACUGAGACACGGCCCAGGCUCCUACGGGAGGCAGCAGUUAGGAAUAUUGGACAAUGGGCGCAAGCCUGAUCCAGCCAUGCCGCGUGAGUGAUGAAGGCCUUCGGGUUGUAAAACUCUUUAGCCGAUGAAUAUAAUGACUGUAGUCGGAAAAUAAGCCCCGGCUAACUUCGUGCCAGCCGCCGCCGUAA
rnacentral:rRNA from 1 species